UGCCGCAGCGCCCGGCCAGCGCCCCGAGCCCGCGACACACAGCAAAGCCAGGCAACGAAUCCCGACCGGGCCAGUGGGCCCAAAUCCAUUCAGUGAAUUUACUGAAUGGAAAUUUACCAUUUUUUACCCCAGGGAAAAGCGAGAUGUGCUGUUUGGCUGAUACUAGUCUCGAAUAUUCUCUGCGGGGCGGCCUCAGUGCUGCCCAUCCCUGCUCCAGACCCGGCUCGGGGCAGCUUUGCGCUUAGAGUGAUGGGUGGGACAGUUCUGAGAGCAAUACGGCUCCCACUGCAGGUCUCGAGAAGGGAACUCGAUUCGUGACUUUGUACUUCCCUGCGACUGGUUUAUUACUGAAUUACCCUGGAGAUUUUUAAACCAUUGCAGGUUCUCCCUGAAUCACCAGAUCCAGGAGUUCAUGCAUUCCCUACUACAUUGCUGCAGCAUUUAUAAGGAUCAGGCUAUCAGCUCCUUAUACCCUUAUACCCCUUCAAACCCCACAUUUUCCUAUUUUCUCUAACAGCACAGUUCAUUAAUGCCUUCAAUCUUUAUUACAGCUGAUUACAAAGAUGCCACCAUUCUGCAGAAACAAAGUUAUCAAAGAAAAAAUCUGAAAAAACUAUUAUCUGUCAAGCCUUUGAGAACUUCACUUGAUAUUAAAACAGGUCUGGGGGAGGAAGAGAAAUUUAAAAGAAAGAACACCAAUGCCUCUUAAUUUAUCACCUUUAUCUGUGGCCCAAAGUAAAAGCAUCCAAGACUUCUCAAAGUACCUCGACUGUCUCCUUGGCAGACCGAGUAUUUUUAGCCCACUGGAUGUGAGCUGCUCCUGAGAACAGAUGGGUUAGCACUCCAAGCACUUCAUGGCUGUAUAUGCACUGCUGUAGAACAGAAUGAAUAAAAAAUGACCUGGCUGUGAAAUCCUUAUUCCCCACUUCCAUCUCAUUGACUUCAACAAAUUGUGUACAUUCCUCCCCAACAGGAAACAAGGUCUGCCAGUUUCACAAUGCCUCGUUUCCUCAUUACAAACUGAUUCUUAUCUAGGGUGGAGAAGUGAAAGUGGGGUUUUGUUUUCCUUUCAUAGUAAUAUUUCAAGGUUUCUCAAGUUUUCUCACUCUCUCCUGAUCCUGCCUUCUCAAAUAAUCAGUGGUCUUUGGCAGAGGAGCUGACACAACACUGACCUGGAACUCUGAAGUGCCUGUUUCUAGUCCAGCCUGAGAACAACUGGAAUCCAAGCUACUCAUUUUUGUUACACCACCACAGUUCUGUGGGAUGUUUCACCUUUGCAAGGAGCUGGUACAUUGCAAAUGUUUCCAUUUGCUAUUUGAAUGUGUAGUCUGAACUUUGUAUUUCUCAAUCACAAACUUUCAUCCAGGAGGAGAUUUCUAUUGUGAUUGAUCACAAUGACAACUUGGAAAAUUAGAUACUUUUUUCCUACAAAUGUUCAUUAAUAGGCUUGGUCUUUUACAUAACCAUUGACAGAAUUAGCCUUUGUCAGAGAAACUGGAACAGUAGGUCUAAUUUCCUUUAUGUUAUUUAUUAUUCAAUUUAAAUUAAUUACUUUUUGAUGCUCAGACUUUUUAGCAGUGUAUAAAUGUAAGGAUCCAAGCAUGUAACCCAAUAUAUUCAAAGUUGCGGACAAACUGCAUCCAUUCUUUUUUUCUAAACUCACUUUCCUAGCUUGAUUUUUUUUCUGGAGAAGAUUGUCAGAGGUUUUAUUUAAACCUUCACAAAUUUAUUUCAGUCAUCAAAUCAGAUAUCUAAUGGACUUGACAUUUUGAGUAACUGCUCCCUGGAUAUUUUAAUUCUCCCUUAAAAGGAAGCUAGCAUUAAGGGAGAGAAUGAUACCUAAUGAAAUGUCAAAAACAUUGAAUAUCUUCAUUGAAUUUGGAGCAUAAUCUAGCACAUUUGCUUUUAGAUCUUAAUAAAAAUAUAAAAUUUUUCUGUGUUAAAUUUGAGCAUAUUUUUUGUAUUUUCUGCAAUUAAAACUUCCUUUAUAUAAUUUAUUUUUUUUCUCUGAGGAAUUGAAACAAUUUUAUGAAGCUUGGCAUUUUGAAAACAGAACCUUUCUCCAUUAAAUAGUGUCAAUGUAAGAUUUUAGAGUAGCUCUGGGGGAAGUGAAAAGUGAUUUUAACAGGCAGCCCUGAUAAAAAAUUUUCAUAUUUAUCAACUAAGGAUUGCCACAUGAACUCCAGCAAAUGUUGUGGGAGUUCAGCAUUGGAAUUCAGUGAAUAUUUUUUUGUCCCACAGAGUGGUUUGCUUGCCUACAUCUGUCACUACUGCUUUCUUAUUUAAAAAAUCAGAUAGAUUCCAAUAUAUCAUAUGGACUACUGAAAUCAUAAUAAAUGAAGCAGCUUUUUGCGAGUACGGCACAUAAUAGGUAACAAAAUAUUGUCUAGAAUGCAGACCAGAACUUAUACACUGCUGUUAGAAUUUUAUUUUUUUCUUGGAUUCCUUGAGAGAAAAUGUCAACAGUAAAAAUUAUAAUGAAACAUAUACUUUAACACUUCUUCAUUACAUUGGAUUUGAAUGACUUCCUAAAAACAUAUUUCACAUUAGCAUCUGGCUAUCAUGAGCAAAAAGACUUUGAGAAUCAAGAGCAGACAUAAAUGCAACAGGCUGGCUAUCUUACUAAUUGUAGUGCAGUGUUCACUGUACAUCUCUCAGAAAUGACUUGCUGUAGUCCAUUAUUAAGAUUAAAUUCCUGCAUGGGAAGAUAAUUUCUUGUUUACAAUGCUGACAUUUCCUACAGGAGAGCAGAAUAACCAGGGACACCUUUAUUCUUCACUGAGUUUUUAAGUGCUGUGAAAAUUACACUGGCAAACUCAUCAUAUUUUACAUAGUAAGCAGUGUGUAGUUUCUGCAUCUGUAAAUCCUGAUAUGCAUUAUACAUUUUACAAUUUUCUGCCCCAAAUAAACUACAAGAAUACUUAGUAA